GAUGAGCGCUAGCGGCAGGCUUAACACAUGCAAGUCGAGGGGUAUAGAAAGCUUGCUUUCUAGAGACCGGCAAACGGGUGCGGAACACGUACACAACCUACCUUUAUCAGGGGGAUAGCCUUCGGAAACGGAGAUUAAUACCCCAUAGUAUUAUGGAGUGGCAUCAUUUUAUAAUUAAAGAAUUUCGGAUAGAGAUGGGUGUGCGUAAGAUUAGCUAGUUGGUGAGGUAAAGGCUCACCAAGGCAACGAUCUUUAGCUGAUGUGAGAGCAUGAUCAGCCAAACGGGCACUGAGACACGGGCCCGACUCCUACGGGAGGCAGCAGUGAGGAAUAUUGGUCAAUGGACGGAAGUCUGAACCAGCCAUGCCGCGUGAAGGAUGAAGGCGUUCUGCGUUGUAAACUUCUUUUAUUUAGGAAGAAACCACUUUUUUUUAAGAGUGUUGACGGUAUUAAAUGAAUAAGCACCGGCUAACUCCGUGCCAGCCGCCGCGGUAACAC
rnacentral:rRNA from 1 species